rnacentral:misc_RNA from 1 species
GAUGAAGAACGUAGCGAAAUGCGAUAAGUAAUGUGAAUUGCAGAAUUCCGUGAAUCAUCGAAUUUUUGAACGCAUAUUGCGCCCUCUGGUAUUCCGGAGGGCAUGCCUGUUUGAGUGUCAUGAACACCUCACCCCCUCGGGUUUCCGAUCGGGUGGAUUUGGGCGCUGCCAGUUACAUGGCUCGCCUUAAAAGCAUUAGCGGUUGUUGACUUAAUAAGUUUUGUCUUGCCGACCGCUCCUAAUCUCCUUCGGGAUGUCCUCUGGACACUUCAUGAUCUGACCUCAAAUCAGGUAGGACUACCCGCUGAACUUAAGCAUAUCAAUAAGCGGAGGA